rnacentral:tRNA from 1 species
GCCCAGGUGGCGAAAUUGGUAGACGCACCAGAUUUAGGUUCUGGCGCCGUAAGGUGUGUGGGUUCGAGUCCCUCCCUGGGCACCA